rnacentral:lncRNA from 1 species
AUAAAGAGACUCAUUUUGAGUGAUCAUUGAGAUAGGAGAUCUCGAACUCUGCACGACGAGGCAAUAGAUUAGUCAAUGCUACGUCUCCCGUCGGUGGAACUUCCUCAAACAUCUCAGCUCCUAAUCUCUCCCGCAAUGCCUGAAUGUUCCCAUCGUUAAGUCCAUCAAACUGCCAUCCUAAGGCUAGGCACUCUUUUUCUUCUCCAGAAUCUUAGACACAUUUUUCAAAACAAAUAUGUGAUCAACGAAUCAAAACUGUGGACAUACU